UACGGAGGGAGCUAGCGUUAUUCGGAAUUACUGGGCGUAAAGCGCACGUAGGCGGCUUUGUAAGUUAGAGGUGAAAGCCUGGAGCUCAACUCCCAGAAUUGCCUUUAAGACUGCAUCGCUUGAAUCCAGGAGAGGUGAGUGGAAUUCCGAGUGUAGAGGUGAAAUUCGUAGAUAUUCGGAAGAACACCAGUGGCGAAGGCAAUCCCCUGGACCUGUACUGACGCUGAGGCGCGAAAGCGUGGGGAGCAAACAGG
rnacentral:rRNA from 1 species